GCAGAUCACUUGAGUCUUCCCAGCACAGGUUAUCUAAGCCCUUAUUAUCUUUAAUGAUGUUCGACGAAUCAAAGGAAUAAUUCUAUCUCUUUUAUUCUCAGCUUAUUUCCAGCAUUAAAUACUUUGUCUUUAUUCAUUUUUGUCAAAGAUUGACAGUUCUUGUCUAAUAAGUCGCAGGGAAUCGUGUAUGCUUAAUUGACUUGGGAGAGUAGCACAGCGCUGACUUGACACCACACACCCUAGUUGAACAAAGAGAACGCUGUUCAACUAGACUAGGGGGGAGUAGCUGAUGAGGACUGGAAUACUCAUCAGCGCUGUGCUUAGUAAUCCAAGCCUAUUUUACCUUGUUAUGAUUACUGUUAUUAUUAUUAUAUAAACUAACCAGCGCAGGUUUAACUAAAGACUCGGGAUAAUAAAUGAAUACGAAGAGCCUGCGCAGUCGAGAGGUGCCAACGCAGUCGAAGAUGCCUAAAGAGCCCGCUUCACCAGAGACGACAUGCCAGAGCAGAGCAGCGUAGAGCUGCGCAGCCAGAGCAGAGCAACACGGACCAGAGCAGCGUAGAGCUGCGCAGCUAGAGAAAAACAGCGCAUAUCAGAGCCGCGCAGCACAGCAGCGUAGAGCAGCGCAGCCAAAGUGCCUUUCCACACAGCCACGAAUGAUGGUUCAGCUUGGAGAUUAAGAUCAUUGUACUAAGUUUUGGGCCUAAACCCAAUUAUUAGAGUUCGUGGGCCUAAGGCCUUUAGGGUUCAUUCUCACAGUUAUAAAUAGGGGAAUCAAUUCAUUCUAGCACACUUCACUUGUAACAUGUAAAAUACUCUUGAGAUAGUGAAACCAACGAAUAACCUCCCGUGGACGUAGGUCUUGAUGGCCGAACCACGUAAAUCCGUGUGUCAUUUAUCGCUUUCUAAUUUCUAGUUUAGGAGUUGGUGAUUCCGUGCUUCACCAACUGGCGCCGUCUGUGGGAAAUUGAGCUAAGGCGUGAGUUUCAAUCUUGUGUUCUUCUCAAUUUUCCAGAUUUCAAUUUGAUGUUCUUCGUGUUUCCAGUUUCCGGCGAGAAGGCCGGUUCUUCUCAAUUUCAGUUUUCUUUUCUAGAAAAUUAUGAUCUCCAAAAAACACUCUUCUGAAUCUAUGUUCUUCGAGCUAACACAAAUCCCAAACGAACUCCCAAGUUGUUUUCCCCAAUUUUGCAUCAGUGAUCUCUAUUUCAUAGAAAUCGAAAAAAUCGCCCCUCUCCAUCGCUAGUCUUCACCCACGAAAAAAAAUGAAAAUUCGCCGAUCCAAAAUUUCCAGAUUUGGAUUUGUGUUCUUCCCCAACAUCUUCGAAAAAAAAAAUCGAUCCAGAAGCGAAAAUCUGAAAUCCUCAAAGAAAAGGCCCCAAUCUCCACAAAUUCCCUUUAUUCCAGCCUAAAUCGCUGCUCACUAGGUUCUCCGGCGGAAAUCCGGCACCCAAAUAUGAAAUCCAGCCUACCAUCGUCAUUAUCUCUCUCUCGUAAAACACCAGAAAAAUUUCCCCUAAAAUCCACAUCGUGGUUCUCUCUGAAAAUCCGGCAACGCCCGCCGCCAUCUCCAAUCGGAGUCACCGAUCAAAUAAUGGCCGCUCUCCCAUGAACUCCAAAGCCCACUGCCGUGCAAACAUUUGGAAUCAACCCAUCUUUCACUCUCUCCAGUCAAACUAGUCCCUCUCUCUCUCAAAAUCAGAAGACCGCUCACCAGACGCUCCUCGUCUGUUUUCCCUCUUCAAGUACCCGCGAAAUCUAACCUGCUAAAAAGACCGGCGAACGGUCGACCUUGCUUCCGACGUAGCUCGAGCCCUAGCUUCCUCCCUGUUCAAGCGGUUCACCGCUGACCAAAGGACGCCCCGCCCCCGUCGGGAGAACGCUACCCCUCAGCAGCCAGCGAAUCGCCGUCCCUCCGCAACCACGCGGAGCUCAAUCUUGAAUUGCAAUUUCUGGCGAACCCCAGCUGUGCUCAAUUUCGCAAAGCUAAGUGCAUUUUUACGAUUUUCUCCAUCAAAUUGGGGUCCUGAUUUCCACCUUUGAAGCAUAUAAGCAUGUUUACAGUAAGAUUAACACUUACGACCUUUGAACCUGGUUUUAGCUGCAAAACUUGAGCAAAUUGGGUUUCUACUGUUUAGCUGCAAAUUGAGCAAAUUGGAGCACUACUAAAAUUUCUGGAUGAUUAAGCUUUAAUUUGAUGUAUAGUAUGCUACAUAGGGUUUGUUAAUUGCUCUGAAAUUUCUAUCUGAUAUCCACAAAAUCUGGUUCUAUUGAGCUUUUAGUGAGUUAAAAUGAGUUCGAAUUAUGUGUUCUGUUUCUGCUUGUUAUUCCCAACUCAGUGAUAUUUGCCGUUCCUUACAACAGCUUGGCAAUGACUAUGAAACCUCUGUCCGACGGCGAGCAGAUGCUACCGCCAUCGUUGCAGAAGUUCCCAAAAUGAAGAAAAAAUGCCCGACCUAGAUCCCAAUUGGGAUAAUCCCAUCGCUGAUGAAUAUCUCUGCUCCUCAAUUGUUGAAGAAGCUAAGUCAUCUUUGUUUUUCUUUCUCUGAAGUUGAUAUGGUGUUGAACUAGCGGGGUAAAAGACGGAAGAUAUUAUUGUACUAACUUCUUUGAGUUCCAACAAUACUUGUAUGUCAGCAUGUGGAUUUGUAUGUUGAAUAUUACCUUAGCAAUGUCUUAAGGUAAAUAGUGAUAGAUAUGAUAAUUAAUGUUGAGUGUUUGCUUACGUGCCUGCUUUUGUACAUUUAAUGUGGCCCCAUGUUUGGCUUAAGAUGAUUAUUUACGUGCCUGCUUUUAUCUAAUUCUUAAGACGAAAGUUUGAUGGUCUAUUGAGCAUGUUUGUAUGAUUGUUGGAAGGGAUAAGACAAAUGUUGAUUGGUAUAUUGUGUUUUCUAAUUACCUGUGGCUUCGAAGAAAGUUUGGAAGUUAUUCGUUGUUUCACGAUUUCUGAUUAUGUUUAUCUUACGAGCUGCACAUUUGGUUUUUUCUUACUCGGGCUAUGAAUAAACGUUUAAUUAUCGUGGGACAUAGGUGCUGAUCCGGGCAUGAUGAAGUGCUCAAAGAGUGGAGUAUCUGGUGGUUAACAGUGUUGAUUAUACUUUAAAUUUGUAAAGCAGUUUUUCAUUGAAUUAUGAAUCAUUUACUAUGACCUCGUAGCAUGUGAUUGUUACAAGCCUAACUUGGAUCGCUUAAUGAAUAUAUGGGUGGACUUGUUGUAUGAAUAAAGUCGGAUUGAUAUCCUAGACUUGGUUGAUUUUAUCUUUACAUGACUGGGAUCUAUUUCUGAAAUUUUGCUUAUACAUUUAUGCUAAGCUAGUUAUUGUUAGUCUGUCAUGAAUAUCGAUCUGUGGGAUUAUGUUUGAUUACGUUGCUUAAAGCCUACUAUUUAGGAUCUGAAUAUGUAGUUUAAAUAUCAACGUUGACAUUCUUUUAAUAGUACCAGCGCAUGAAUUAUAUAUAUAUCUAUGUACAGAUUCCUGAGUUUAUGAGCUUGAUAUAGCGGUGGUUUGGCUCAAAGUUUGGACUGAUGGUUAUGAUUUGGCUUUGAUCUUAGCUCAGCGCUGAAGAGGGCAGCGCAGGCGAGGGCCUUUGAGGGCAGCGCAAGCAUGGUGGUAAUCCUCGAGGGCAGCGCGCGCAGGUUCAUGGGUUCAUGGAGACGCACCAGAGGGCAGCCUCAGUCGCGCGAUUGAGGAGAAGCUCCAGCGCAGCUCUUAGCAUCUGAAUUCCGGCGUCGUUUCUCUACUUUGAGACGUAGCUCCGUCAAACCAGCCCACUUCGCCGGCGCAGCCAUUGAUUUCUCAAUUAAUUUCUGCCGAAACUCAGUGUCCUAAUUUUCACUCAAUUUUACUUACGAUUUCUUGUGGUUUUUGUGCAAGGGCAUUUCAUUAUCCCAAUAUUGAGCAAAGCUCGAAAACUUAAGGGAAUUGGUUGUCGAGCAAUUGAUGAAGCUCUUGGAUUAUCAGUCGUAAAGGCAGAUGUUACCAUCCCAUCCAUCAUCGCAGGAGGAUGUCUAUAGCAUUCGCUCACGAACAUUAAGGCAACCGCUUACCUUUUGCCAGCGAUCCUCACGUCAGCGCAGGAACAUGGCAGUCGGCCCUUUCGACUCAACUGAACAGGGCAGCUGACCCUCCUCCAACAAAAGCUAAGUCCUCGCGUCUUCUCCUUUUAUUGCAUAAACACAAUGGUGAUUGCGUACUAGAUAACAUUUGUGGGGUUGUGAUUCUCUUAACUGUUUAUGAUGAGACGUGGAGUUUGCCACUUGCACUAAAGAGAUAGAUAUGGUGUCAUGCAACGAUGAUACUAAGCACUAGUUGAUACUACUAAACUGCUAUGUACUCGCUUUAUAAGCUAUAUGGUGGGAGUCCUUAUAGCCUUUGGUUCUAAAACAAUGAGAUACAUUGAAUAUGAAUCAUGUUUAAACACUUGAAUAUUGGUUUAAUUGGUCGGGAUAUGGACAUAACAUGGUGUCAGAUGGGAUUUCGCUUAUAUAGCAGUGCUAAUUCUGCUCUAAACUGAUGAAGCAAUGUUGCAUGGAUGGUGAAUUGUUUAUUGUGACUUGCAUUAUUUUGGAAAUACUUUGUGGAUUUCUUGGAAUUAAAUUGAACUACCCUGACCUCACUAAUUCACUUACUGACAUCGAUUUGUUGAGGAACACAUUAUCUAAAUUUUUGAGCUGAAAUUUACACUCAUGUUACCUAAAUUAUGAGAAAUUGAUGUGGCAGCGUUGUUUUGUGUUUUUCUAUACUCUCAGAGCAGAGCUGGUGUUGGAGCUAGGAGCUUGUUGAACUUCCAAGUGUCAUAUUGGACAAGUCUUCAAUUUGGCUGUUACGGCACUCCAGCCUGCGGGCUUUAUUAAAGUCUUGAUACGAAGAGGUUUUCCAGUAUCACAAGAAGCAAGGAAUAGCUGUCAGUUUCCAACCUGACCCAGCACCGUUAUUCAGCGCAGGAAGAGGUGUCAGUUUCCCACGGCUGACUCAGCAUCAUUAUUCAGCGCAGUAAAAGGUGCCGGGUUCCAGCGUUGCUUGGGAAUUCUCAGCGAAACGAAGGAAUAUGUGCGCAGGUAGGGAGAGGGUAGUUCAUCAGCUCUUUAGCUGCGCUGAUGCAGCGCAGGGAGAAGGGUAGCUCAUUAGCUGCGCCAAGGCAGCGCAGGGAAGGAGAGGGCAGCUCAUCAACUACACUGAUGCAGUACGCUGAUGCAGCGCAGGAUCAUGCGAAGAAAGAUACAACAGCAAAGGAAAAGGAGGAAUUAGUGGAAUAACAAGAUGAAGUAAAAUUAUUAAGCUGCGCAGGAAUGAAAGCAAGAGAGUUACUAAAGCUGCGCUGCAUAAUUUUCUAAGCGGUGCUGCGGGAUAUCUAAGCUGGUCUUCAACAUAGGAACUCUACAUCCCAGCACAGAAUGUCUAAGUCGUAAUGUAACAAGGUAACCCUCUAACUAGUGGUGAUCCAGGUACUUCGCAAAACUGAAAUUUCUCACUACAUGAUCUUAAGGUGUCUCACCAAAGCAUGUAAGUAUGAAACAUGAUCUUAAGUUAUUUCAUCGAAGCAUGAAAACAUGAUUAGGAUUUGGAAAAUGUUAUACUUUACCACUUGAGAAAAAUCAUGAUUUAAAUUAUCUCUUGAAGGGAUUUGGGAAUUUGAUAUUAUGUCUUGGAAGCUGCACACCUUCUGCAUACGUGCUAGGGCUUGGAACAUAAUUUGGAUAACAUACUUUGGGACCAUAGAGUCAUACUAGCCCUGUCACUAGCAUCACAAGUAGGAACACCAAUCACAAGCAUACACAUAACAUGUUUAUUUUAAUCAUGCACAUGUUACUAAGAGGGAGGGAGUAGGGUAUAUGUUGCCAUCUGUAUUUUUCUUGAAAAUUUACAGCACAUCAGUAAUGGUUAACAAUGCUGGAAAACCUGCUUCGGCAGAAAAUGAGCUUUAGUGGCAAUUCAGCCACGCUUCGGAGGGGAAAGCCUUAAGUAGAAUUUGGGUCUUCUCAGCGCAGUCAGGAUAUUUAUCUCAGCUACCUCAGCGCAGCUAUCUCAGUUAUCUCAGCUACCUCAGGGCAGCUACCUCAGGGCAGCUACCUCAGCGCAGUAAGGAUAUUUAUCUCAGCUAUCUCAGCGCAGCUAUCUCAGCACAGUCAGGGCAGUUACCUCAGCUACCUCAGGGAAGCUACCUCAGCGCAGUAAGGACAUUUAUCUCAGCUACUUCAGCGCAGCUAUCUCAGUUAUCUCAGUAGUUUUCAGCGCAGAAUGUCCGAGCCGUUGUCAGUUCAGAAUGUCUAUGCUCCGCGCAGGAAUAUCGUAAGCCGCGAAAGUUAGACAGGGUUCUUUGAUUGUCUAUGCUCCGCGCAGGAAUAUCGUAAGCCGCGAAAGUUAGACAGGGGUGUACCAUCUUGAGGGCCGCGUUGCGGAAGUGUACCAUCUUAAGGGCCGCGUCUUAAGGGCCGCGAAUGUAUGCGGUAAGUGUACCAUCUUAAGGGCCGCGUUGCGGAAGUGUACCAUCUUAAGGGCCGCGUUGCGGAAGUGUAAUCUUAAGGGCCGCGUUGCGGAAGUGUACCAUCUUAAGGGCCGCGUUGCGGAAGUGUACUAUCUUAAGGGCCGCGUUGCGGAAGUGUAUCAUCUUUGUCAGUGCAGGUAGUGCAGCGCAGUCAGCGCGGGGUUGUCAGCGCAGUCGGUGCAGCGCAGUCAGCGCGAGGUUGUCAACACAGAUCACUUGAGUCUUCCCAGCACAGGUUAUCUAAGCCCUUAUUAUCUUUAAUGAUGUUCGACGAAUCAAAAGGAAUAACUGCUAUCUCUUUUAUCUCAGCUUAUUUCCAGCAUUAAAAUAUUUUGUCUUUAUCAUUUUUGCAAAGAUUGACAGUUCUUGUCUAAUAAGUCGCAGGGAAUCGUGUAUGCUUAAUUGACACGGGAGAGCAGCACAGCGCUGACUUCACACCACACACCACUAGUUGAACAAAGAGAACUCUGUUCAACUAGACUAGGGGGAGUAGCUGAUGAGGACUGUAAUUCCCAUCAGUGCUGUGCUUAGCAAUCUAAGCCUAUUUUAUCUUAUUAUUAUUAUUAUUAUUAUUAUUA
rnacentral:lncRNA from 1 species